AAGCCACGAGAUUGAAGUGAAUGGGUUGUGGGUCCACAAUUGGGUGGGCCCGAACUCAGGAAAGUCCCCGGGCCAACAUUCCGUGGAGACACGGGCUCGGUAACGAGGCAAAUCCUUGCAUUGGGUGGUUCCUCCGCUCCGGCGGAAGGGCUGAGACACGUGUGGAGCUCUAGUUGGGCCGCCUUGCAGGACUAAUUUGGCCAAUUUGUACAGUUAUUCACUUGGUCUAAUUGGACCAACUGAACGGGGCUUACAAUCUCGUGGCA
rnacentral:RNase_MRP_RNA from 2 species